GAUGAACGCUGGCGGCGUGCCUAAUACAUGCAAGUCGAGCGAACAGACGAGGAGCUUGCUCCUCUGACGUUAGCGGCGGACGGGUGAGUAACACGUGGAUAACCUACCUAUAAGACUGGGAUAACUUCGGGAAACCGGAGCUAAUACCGGAUAAUGUAUUGAACCGCAUGGUUCAAUAGUGAAAGACGGUUUUGCUGUCACUUAUAGAUGGAUCCGCGCCGCAUUAGCUAGUUGGUAAGGUAACGGCUUACCAAGGCAACGAUGCGUAGCCGACCUGAGAGGGAGAUCGGCCACACUGGAACUGAGACACGGUCCAGACUCCUACGGGAGGCAGCAGUAGGGAAUCUUCCGCAAUGGGCGAAAGCCUGACGGAGCAACGCCGCGUGAGUGAUGAAGGUCUUCGGAUCGUAAAACUCUGUUAUUAGGGAAGAACAAAUGUGUAAGUAACUAUGCACGUCUUGACGGUACCUAAUCAGAAAGCCACGGCUAACUACGUG
rnacentral:rRNA from 1 species